rnacentral:lncRNA from 1 species
GUUAUUUCCACGAAGUGUUUGUCAGUUUGUUGGACAUUUGAGACCCCAGGAAAUCCCCUUUCUCGUAACGUUCUCCGCUUGGAUCUGAUCUCAACAGGGUGUCGUAGUCAUUCUUCAGCACAAUUCUUAAUUGGAGACCAAGAACCCUGGGCCUUUAGAGGUGGUCUAGCAGGAGAGUUCCAGCGUUUGCUGCCAAUUGAUGGGGCAAAUGAUCUCUUUUUUCAGCCACCUCCACUGACUCCUACCUCCAAAGUUUAUACUAUCAGACCUUAUUUUCCUAAGGAUGAGGUAAUUGUCUCUCUACCUACCAACUUGGUGUAUGGGUAUGGUGCACACUUAAAACUUAACCUUUUAACUCACUGGUUAAAGGAAUCCUUCUGUCUUAAAACUGCAAACUUUAGAUGGAGAAAGUUCAUUAAAACAUUCAGUGUAUCUUGAGAAAUUUAAGGAGUUUAGACUUUUAACAUCUUGUGCCAAGUUCUUUAAUUUCUCCCUUGAGAAAGUCAGAUGAAAUGUAUU